AACACCGACCGUCCCCGAGCGCUAGAAACGGACGUUAAAGACGGAAAUAAAUCGUGAAAACGUUUAGAAAAAAAUGUCCGUUUGAGUGCGAGACAGAAAACCGUGUCUGAUCAGCCUAAAGUAGUGUGAUUUGCGUAAUGCUUCUCCAUUGAAGUCGCGUGCCGCGAGACAUGAAUUGAGAAAUACGACAAUGAAUGAAUGCACUUGUUGGUCGGAUGUGGGUGUGUCGCAGAUGGAGAUGUAUUACCUGUCCGUUAGUCUUGGCGGCAGCCGGGUCAGCAUCGGCGGCUUUCCCCUCCACAGCCACUCCUCCCUUUGAUGCCUGGGAUCCCAUUAUUCUUGAUGUGGUUUUAAAGUAAAUGAAAAACAACUCAAAUUCAGGUAGGUGGG